GGGGAGGGAGGUGUGGAAGCCGGUUUGCCGGGGCCACCCAGUGUGGGCUCAGGAAGGGAAGGAAUGUGACCGAGGCCGGGUGUGGCUGAGGGGAGUGCAGCCAGUUGUGGGUUUUUCUUGGGGCCCAGAUGGACGUGAGCAGAGACGGAGCCCCGCACCCUCGGCCCCUGCCACACACACUAGGACCCUUCUUCA
rfam:Camelus ferus unplaced genomic scaffold scaffold234, whole genome shotgun sequence.